rnacentral:tRNA from 1 species
GCGAUAGUAGCUCAGUCGGUAGAGUGAAAGCUUCCCAAGCUUUAGGUCGCGAGUUCGAACCUCGUCUAUCGCU